UGCAUUAGUUGCAGCUGUUGUUGAAGCUGAUAAAUUGCCUGCUGUGAAGAUUGAUAACUGGAUUGCAAAGCAGCUUGCUGUUGGAGUAGCAAUUGUGGUGCUUGCGAUGGCAUCUGCUGCACUGGCUGCUGAAGCAUUUGUGGUGCAACAUUUGAGGGAAGAUGCUGUUGCCCGGGAAUAGCUUGCAUGGAAUUGGACACGGCUGAAGGCACCUGCACAGCGCUGACGGAAGCAUUUUGUUGCAUCAACGGCUGUGACACAGGAAGCUGACCAGAUAACCUAUUCUGGCCAAAAGAACCAGGACCCAUAGAUUGUGGAACUUGAAGCUGACCAAUCUGUUGAGCAGGACCCUGCAAGGGUUGUCCCAGCUGAUUAUUCUGCAAUUGAACAGGGAAAUUCUGAGGCAACCCUGGUAGCUUUUGCAAAGGUGGGAUCUGCUGGCCUCCCAGAUGAUGGCCUUGUGCCAUGGGAGGAGGUUUACCAUAUGUGACGAACUUGGCACAGCUGUUUGGCUUGACAAAGAGCCAUUUCCGCUGAACAUCUGAGGUCGAAAAGCAUACCGUAUCUGUUGUUGAUGUAACAGUACUCCCUUUCGGAGCCAUAGGAUUGUCAGAUCCAAAGUUAUUAAACUGAUGAGGUGCUGACCUUGGGCUUGAUGGAUGCCAAGAGUCAGGAGGCAUAUGCCGACCCCUUGGUUCAUCAAGGUUGGCGGUCGGCCUGGAUAGAAAAAAGCUGCAUCAGAUCGUGGACUGAAACCAGGACCUCCAAAUGCAGGACCACCCCUUGAUUCUCCAGGUCUAGGUCUCUUAGGAUCAGCGAACCGAAUUAUUAAUGGUUGCUCGCACCCCCUCAUUACAUAAUUCCCACUCAGAGCACUCAUGGCUGCCAGCGCCGGUUCUCGUGAUGAGAAUUUGACAAAGCCACAACCUCGGCUCUGCCUCAUGCCAUCUUUCAUAAUGUAGACAUCUUCCACAUGACCAUACGGCGCAAAAAUCUCUUCAAUCUCCUUCGCAGUAGCUUGCUUAUUGAGUGAUGCGACAAACAGCUUGUGCUCAAUAGCCCCUAACAAAUAGAUGAAAAACUGACUAUAAAUGAGUACACAACAAAGAGAUUAGUUACCCCAGGUAAAGUGUACUGGUUGUGAAGAGCUCUGAUGGCUCGCUCAGCCUCUUCAGAAGUAGCAUAUUUAACAAAACAACAACCUUGCUGUUCACCAGUCUUCCUAUCCUUGAUCAAAGCAACUUCAACAACAUCUCCAUGCUCCUCAAAUAAAGGACGUACAUCAUCCUCAGUCGCUGUCCUUGGAACUGACCCAAUAAAAAGUUUAACAUAGUUGUUUCUGUUAUCAUGAUCUGCACCGAAAAAUUAGAUUGGUCACCACGGCCACUGCCGUAGCGGUGUCUCGGCCCGCUACCCGGCUCCCCGUACUCGCCGCCGCCGCCGCUUCUGUAGCCUCCGCCGCCGGAGUGGUCCGACGGGCCACGGUACGGGUGGAACCUCCCGCCUCCACCUCCGCCUCCGCCACCGUCGCCGCCGCCCCCACCCCCACCACGGGAGAAGCGGUGGGGUGGGCUGCCGCUACCGCCGCCGCCACCGCCGGACGACCAGCGAGAAGGGCCGCGGCCGAAUCGGCCGUCCCCGCCGCCGCGAGAACCGGGCGCGGGGCCGGAGGAGGGGUCGGUGGAGCGGUCGCCGCCGCGGUGCAUGUGGGUGGAGGGGGAGGUGGGCUAGGGUUUUG
rnacentral:sRNA from 1 species